UUGGGGAAACGUGUUUUCUCUGUCUUCUAAAUGUCUUCAUGCCUUCACUGAAAAUUGAUUGGGUCCUUCCAGUGCACCAGAUACUGGGUGACCUAAAACUAAUUAAUGAAGUUAUAGAGUGAGUCUAUAAUUAUUUUUGCAUUUAGGAAACCUUUUUGGUGGGUUUUAAGAACAGUUUGUUGUUGUUUACUGUAUGAAAGUAAAGCCAAAUCUUAACGGAUGGUUCGAAUGCUGUGUGCACAAAGGGAUGACUGCACUGUGACCCAUGAAGAUGGAGCUACCAUUUUAUUAUCAAAAGCAUGUAUGCUGGGCAUUUUUGUUUCAUAUAUAGCUACAAAUUUAUGUUCAUAUGCUCAUACACCCUUUGCUUUGCUGGUUCCUGUCUUAGAAGUGGUAGCCAUGGCUGUGAAAAUGUGAGUGCUACCUUCUCCAACCCAAACACAAUGAGAACUCAUUCCCUGCAGACAAUAGCUAGUCAGGACAGUCCCAAGUUCAUCUAUUCUUUUUUCCUGUCUUACUCCACAACCUAACUGCUCUGUGCUGAUCUCUGGAGGCAGACAGAGUACUA
rnacentral:lncRNA from 1 species